GAUGAACGCUGGCGGCGUGCCUAAUACAUGCAAGUCGAGCGAAUGGAUUAAGAGCUUGCUCUUAUGAAGUUAGCGGCGGACGGGUGAGUAACACGUGGGUAACCUGCCCAUAAGACUGGGAUAACUCCGGGAAACCGGGGCUAAUACCGGAUAAUAUUUUAAACUGCGUGGUGCAAAAUUGAAAGGCGGCUUCGGCUGUCACUUAUGGAUGUACCCGGGUGGGAUUAGCUAGUUGGUGAGGUAACGGCUCACUAAGGCAACGAUGCGGAGCCGGCCUGGGAGGGGGAUCGGCCACACUGGGACUGAGAAACGGCCCAGAAUCCUACGGGGGGCAGCAGUAGGGAAUCUUCCGCAAUGGACGAAAGUCUGACGGAGCAACGCCGCGUGAGUGAUGAAGGCUUUCGGGUCGUAAAACUCUGUUGUUAGGGAAGAACAAGUGCUAGUUGAAUAAGCUGGCACCUUGGCGGUACCUGACCAGAAAGCCACGGCUAACUACGUGCCAGCCGCCGCUGUAA
rnacentral:rRNA from 1 species